rnacentral:tRNA from 1 species
GCUCUGGCUCAGUGGCACAGCAUCUGCUUGGCAUGAAGAAGGCCUCAGGUUCAAUUCAUGACAUCUCCA